rnacentral:rRNA from 1 species
UACGGGGGGGGCAAGCGUUGUUCGGAAUUACUGGGCGUAAAGGGCUCGUAGGCGGCCAACUAAGUCGGAUGUGAAAUCCCCAGGCUUAACCUGGGAACUGCAUCCGAUACUGGAUGGCUUAAUCCGGGAGAGGGAUGCGGAAUUCCAGGUGUAGCGGUGAAAUGCGUAGAUAUCUGGAGGAACACCGGUGGCGAAAGGCGGCAUCCUGGACCGGCAUUGACGCUGAGGAGCGAAAAGCCCAGGGGAGCAAAACGGGG